rnacentral:rRNA from 1 species
GAUGAACGCUAGCGGAAGGCUUAAUACAUGCAAGUCGAGCGGUAGGUGGCUUCGGCCAUUGAGAGCGGCGCACGGGUGAGUAACGCGUACAUGACCUGCCUGUCAGAAGGGGAUAGCCCUGGGAAACUGGGAUUAAUACCCUAUGGUAUUGAUAUUAUGAAUGAUAUCAAUUAAAGUUGAGGCGCUGACAGAUGGAUGUGCGUCUGAUUAGCUAGUUGGUAGGGUAACGGCCUACCAAGGCGACGAUCAGUAGGGGGCGUGAGAGCGUGGUCCCCCACACGGGUACUGAGACACGGACCCGACUCCUACGGGAGGCAGCAGUAAGGAAUAUUGGUCAAUGCCCGCAAGGGUGAACCAGCCAUUCCGCGUGGAGGAUGAAGGCCCUAUGGGUUGUAAACUUCUUUUAGAUGGGAAGAAAAUGCUAGAUGUAUCUGGUACUGACGGUACCAUCAGAAUAAGCAACCGGCUAAACUCCGUGCCAGCAGCCGC